ACUAGAUAUUGUACAUGAUUGUAGCCACACAAUCCUUAUUGUAGUUGAAGUAACUUGUUUCUUGACACAUUGUCUCCUUUGGCUAUUCUGCUUCUCAUUUUGUAAUUACAUUUUUUCUUUGGAUAAUAUUGAAUAGUAUGUUUAGCUUCUCCAUAAUAUAAGUAUAAGCCCUUUUGAUAUUGUCGACUCUUUUUUUCUUUUGUGAGGAAUUUAAAAUGUAUUAUAUUAAUUUGUAUUGAAUUUAGCCUUGAUAAAUAAUUUUUUGAAAACUUAAGAACUACCA
rnacentral:lncRNA from 1 species